AGCGAACGUUAGCGGCGGGCCUAACACAUGCAAGUCGAACGAGAAAACCUUCGGGUGAGUACAGUGGCGCACGGGUGAGGAACGCGUAGGUAAUCUACCCUCUGGCGGGGGACAACACUCCGAAAGGAAUGCUAAUACCGCAUAAGACCACGCUUACUAAGGUGAGAGUGGUAAAAGGCGCCUCAAAGCGCCACCAGAGGAUGAGCCUGCGUCCCAUCAGUUUGUUGGUAAGGUAACGGCUUACCAAGGCGAAGACGGGUAGCUGGUCUGAGAGGAUGAUCAGCCACACUGGUACUGGAACACGGACCAGACUCCUACGGGAGGCAGCAGUGAGGAAUAUUGGGCAAUGGGCGAAAGCCUGACCCAGCCACGCCGCGUGUGUGAUGAAGGCCUUCGGGUCGUAAAGCACUGUGGGGAGGGACGAACCUACGCAGGAGGAAAUGCCUGCGUACUGACGGUACCUCCUUAGCAAGCACCGGCUAACUCUGUG
rnacentral:rRNA from 1 species